rnacentral:rRNA from 1 species
GAUGAACGCUGGCGGCGUGCCUAAUACAUGCAAGUCGAACGAACAGACGAGGAUCUUGUGCCUCUGACGUUAGCGGCGGGCGGGAGAGUAACACGUGGAUAACCUCCCUAUCUGACUGGGAUAACUUCGAGACAGCGGAGCUAAUACCAGAUAAUCUAUUGCACCGCAGGGGGCGAUAGUGAAUGACGGUUUUGCUGUCACGUCUAGAGGCUUCCGCGCCGCAUUAGCUAGUUGGGACGGUAACGGCUUACCAAGGCAACGAUGCGUAGCCGACCGGCGAGGGUGAUCGGCCGCACGGGAACGUGGACGCGCACCAGACGCCUAAGGGAGGCAGCAGUCGGGAACCUGCGGCAGUGGGCGAAAGCCUGACGGAGCAACGGGGCGUGAGUUGUGGAGGUCUUGGGAUCGGAAAACUGUGUUACUAGGGGAGAACAACUGUGUAAGUAACUAAGGACGUCUUGACGGUACCUGAUAAAAAAGCCACGGCUAACUACGUG